ensembl:snoRNA SNORD94 small nucleolar RNA, C/D box 94
CUGGCUAUGAUGAGUGGCGCAGGGGUACGGACCUCAGCUGAUAAUGGGAGCUGAGUGUUGGCGCUAGUUCUCAGCUUAGUGGGCAUGUGGCCAGCUGACUGGGAGGUGUCAACACGAUACAGACGCCUGACUGAGCCUC